CAUCACUUGAAUUACAAUGUGAACAGGUUUUAUUCGCAAUAAUGCCGAGACGAGCAAGGUGUUACGGUGCAGUAUUAUGACCAAAACGCAGUCUAUUUAUGAUAGUAAUAAAGUCUGAGUAGCAUCUUGCAUACGAUGAAACCAAGGUCUUGCAGAAAUAUAGCUGAAAGUGUUGGAGAAUUACCGCAUAGUAGAUCUUGUGGUGUUGUUAAUGUUUCUCUUGGGGAUCUUUCUAUAUAAGGUCAGAGAUUAAAGAGGUGAAACUGUCUGCACUACUACGCCCUUAUCAAAUAUUUUACCAAGACAGGAUGACAAGGAAAGUGGUCUUUAAGAACUAGCAAACUCAGGAGAGUUGUUGGGCUUAAGUAUUGGGACAACACACUGUUUUCCAUGACUGUGGAAUAGAUUUAUUACGCCAAAGCAAAUUGAGAAUGUUAAAAAACAACUUUUGGGCAGAUACAACUAAGUUUUGAAUUACAAUGUAAGGAUAAUUAUCUAAGCCAGGAGUUGUAUUUCGUCUAGAGUGCAAACCUGUUAAAAAUUCAGACCAUGAAAAUGGACCCAGUAAAAAUUUAGAAUUUCAGUUAUCAUUAUUGAUUUCAAAAGGAAUGUUCAGUUGAUCUACUUCAAUUAAGUUGCUAUUAUCUGAUAAUUUAUCCAAGAGUGGAGAUAUAAACUCAUCUGUAUAUGAUUUAUUCUUAGGUCUUAUGCCUUUGAACAUCUAUACAUGUAAAUAAAAUUAGAGUGUCUGUUUGUAAUAUUGAAAUAACCGCUUUUUACUACAUGCAUAUGAAUAUAUAUACGGUAAAUA